rnacentral:misc_RNA from 1 species
GAUGAAGAACGUAGCGAAAUGCGAUACUUGGUGUGAAUUGCAGAAUCCCGCGAAUCAUCGAGUUUUUGAACGCAAGUUGCGCCCGAAGCCAUUCGGCCAAGGGCACGUCUGCCUGGGUGUCACGCAUCGUUGCCCCCCCAAACUCCGGUUCGGGCGGGGCGGAAGUUGGCCUCCCGUGCGUGCCUGCGCGCGCGGUUAGCCCAAAAGCGAGUCCUCGGCGACGAGCGCCACGACAAUCGGUGGUUUUUUUACCCUCGUUCCUCGUCGUGCGUGUCCCGUCGCCCGAACGCGCUCUUGUGACCCUCACGCGUCGCCUCGGCGGCGCUCCCAACGCGACCCCAGGUCAGGCGGGACUACCCGCUGAGUUUAAGCAUAUCAAUAAGCGGAGGA